rnacentral:rRNA from 1 species
AACGUAGGAGGCUAGCGUUAUCCGGAUUUAUUGGGCGUAAAGCGCGUGCAGGCGGUCUAUCAAGUUGGAUGUGAAAGCUCCUGGCUUAACUGGGAGAGGUCGUUCAAAACUGAUAGACUAGAGAAUGGUAGAGGGAGGUGGAAUUCCGGGUGUAGUGGUGAAAUGCGUAGAUAUCCGGAGGAACACCAGUGGCGAAAGCGGCCUCCUGGGCCAUUUCUGACGCUAAGACGCGAAAGCUAGGGUAGCAAACGGGAUUAGAGACCCCGGUAGUCCUAGCCGUAAACGAUGUGGACUUGGCGUUGGCGGAGUUAAAUCUGCCAGUGCCGUAGCUAACGCGAUAAGUCCACCGCCUGGGGACUACGACCGCAAGGUUAAA